AGGACAGUUCAGACGAUGAUGAGCCGCUCAUCAAGAUGAUCAAGAAAGGUCCGAGUGACGAGCAGCUGAGGGAGACGGUGCAGAGUCUCCUGAAGGAGGCCGACCUGGAGGAGAUGACCAUGAAGCAGAUCUGCCAGAGGGUGUUUGACACGUACCCGGAGCAGGACCUGAGCAGUAAGAAGGACUUCAUCAAACAGACGGUCAAAUCUCUCAUCACAUGAAGGUCUGAAGCUGGAAGAGUCAGAACGUCACGCAACGACAAAAAGCUCCUUUUACUUUUCAAAACUUUCAUAUCACUUUGUUUUCAUACUCGACAGUUUUCUACAUGAUUGUGUUUUUUAUGAGUGAGUGACUCGUGAGUCACUCGUGUGUGACCUGUGAGUGACUGGUGAGUAACUCUUUAGUGACUCGGUGUGUUAUUCUUGAGUGACUUGGUGUGUGUGACUCGUGAGUGAGUUGUGACUCGGUGUGUGACUCGU